UAAUUCCUCUUUCACCGACCAUUCAUGUGUUUAGUGCCUUAUCUCCAGAACUGAAUCUAUUUUAUGUGAAAUUCUUUCCUUCACAACUGAUAAUCCUGUGAUAUACUAUUUUGCAAUAAGGUACAUCCAGGCAAAGCCUUGAGAUAUGUUUAACAAAUAUAUAACAUGUUCCAAUUGGGAAAAUGCUUCCCUGGCAUGAUUCAGGGCAUAUCACAUUAUCCAGAUGCUCUAACAAGACAUUUGGUAUGGUCCGAAUGGACAAGCAUUACAGCAUAGUCGCAAUACAAAGUAAAAGUUAAAACAAUGAAAUUAGUUAUUUCGUAACUGAGUGGAUAUUACAUGAUUACAUCCAUCAAAAGCAUAUCAGGUUACUUUUCUCAUGAUAUUUCUUACGUGCAUGCAGCCAUCACAUAAAUAUGACAGGAAGACCAGUGGAGAAAUCUAUUCUGCUUGUCUAUUCGAAUAUCUAGUCAAGCAUAAAAUUAUUGUAUUCUCUUCUUUCUGUUUACCCAGUAAAAUUUAAAUGCCAAUCUCAGUGAGAGGAUAGACAUACAAGGACACGUGAAGUAGAAAACUUAAAAACCAUAUACACAUGUAAAUAAACAUAAGUACAUAAAUAAGCAUGCAUAAAUCAACCAUGUAUAUAAACAAACAAAUAUAUCCCAUUGAUGAGUGGGUGUGUGCGCGUUUGCAUGGAAACAGAUAAACGACACUCUUCCCAUUUACGAUUAUGGUAAACAUGUAGGACAUUUUGCCCAUGUUUGGUGUAGCUAAAAAUAAGAUUUUUAAUAGAUUUUGAUACAAACUGAUGAAAUGUAUGGUUAAAAUUAAUUGUUGAUUUUAAAUUAGAUUUUUAUCAACUGUUUAAUUUACACCAAACAGGGGCUUAGGGUCACAGAUUAAUAGGUAUUCCUUUUACAAAUUUAUGUGAUAACUAAAUGUGAUCCAUCGUUGUAACAAUCGUUGAAAUAGUAACAUGACAUAUCUAUGAACUAAGCACAAUUUAUACACACAGAUGAGAUAUUCUUUUCAUCAUUCAAUGUCUAAAUCGUGCUUCAGAAAAUAAUCUUCACAAAUCAGAAUCACAUUUGCAUCAUGAAGCAAAUUAAUAGCAAGUGAGUUCAGUCGUGAUAGUAAAACAAAUCUAAAACUAUAAGAAUUGUUCAAAAAGAAACUCAACAUUUACAUGGUUAUAGGGGUGCUGAACACACCAUAAAUGUUAAGAGAAUGAUAUAUGUUCAGAUGAAUGUCUGGACAGUGAUCCUUGAAGUGUCCGAGAAUGCAAAAGCAUGGUCAAAACUAAGGAGGUCAGUAGACAAUAUGGUCAACUUAGAACUCAUAUCCCACUUAGUUCGGACAUCAACAUCAGCAAAUUACAGCUAGCAUAUAUACCAGGUUUUUCAGCUGAGAUUACCUGUCAGCUACCUUUCCAAUUUCACCACCAAGCGCAUCCACUUCAUGUACGAGUUGAGACUUUGCAGGCCCACCCACUGCCGGAUUGCAAGGCUG
rnacentral:lncRNA from 1 species